rnacentral:rRNA from 1 species
CAGUCGCCGCGGUAAUACGGAGGGUGCAAGCGUUAAUCGUAAUUACUGGGCGUAAAGCGCACGCAGGCGGUCUGUCAAGUCGGAUGUGAAAUCCCCGGGCUUAACCUGGGAACUGCAUUUGAAACUGGCAGGCUAGAGUCUUGUAGAGGGGGGUAGAAUUCCAGGUGUAGCGGUGAAAUGCGUAGAGAUCUGGAGGAAUACCGGUGGCGAAGGCGGCCCCCUGGACAAAGACUGACGCUCAGGUGCGAAAGCGUGGGGAGCAAACAGGAUUAGAGACCCGGGUAGUCCCUGUCUCUUAUAC